rnacentral:rRNA from 1 species
UACAGAGGGUGCGAGCGUUAAUCGGAAUUACUGGGCGUAAAGCGUGCGUAGACGGCUAUCUAAGUCGGGUGUGAAAGCCCCGGGCUCAACCUGGGAAUUGCAUUCGAGACUGAAUAGCUAGGGUACGGUAGAGGGAAGUGGAAUUUCCGGUGUAGCGGUGAAAUGCGUAGAUAUCGGAAGGAACAUCAGUGGCGAAGGCAAUCCCCUGGGCCUCGCACUGACGCUCAUGCACGAAAGCGUGGGGAGCAAACAGG